rnacentral:misc_RNA from 1 species
UUGUUACAUUGAGACUGCCGUGAU